GACGGAAGGUGCAAGCGUUGCUCGGAAUCACUGGGCGUAAAGGGUGCGUAGGCGGCCGUGCAAGUCUGGCGUGAAAGCCCCGGGCUCAGCCCGGGAAGUGCGCUCGAAACUGCGCGGCUCGAGUGCCGGAGGGGAGAGUGGAAUUCCUGGUGUAGCGGUGAAAUGCGUAGAUAUCUGCAGGAACACCCGUGGCGAAAGCGGCGCGCUGGACCACUACUGACGCUGAGGAACGAAAGCUAGGGGAGCAAACAGG
rnacentral:rRNA from 1 species